CCCGGUACCCAUAAUGUGUGAAACUCGUGAUCAGAGAAUCCUGAUUCUCGAUCAUCGAGUGUCAAACAUGUAGGAUUCUACAUCGGCUAUCAGAUCAGAUAGGAACCUCUAAUGUGUGUGACCCCACAGGUUCGAACCUAAGCCGGUAGCACAAGAACCAAUUUCUAUACUAAUCAAAGUGACCAUCUAGCAAUGGUACCCGAUAUUCGGAUAGAUCAAAGAGUCGCAAUCGUAACACUCAGAACCUACAUGAAUAUGGUUACUGUAUAAUUCAUCCUUUUGACCCCUGUGUUUAGGACGACUCAGGGUUAAACUGUCAACCCUGAUCAGAUCAUCCGAAUCGUGCUCAACUCAAACAGUCUUGUGACUCCUCACAAGGACUACCCUGGCCAAGAUUUUGCUAAAUUAAAAAAUGACUGUACACAGCUCCUAAAUUGGAGUGGUCAAUCCCAUCUUGACACACGCACCGACAAGUCAAGUACUUGACUACACCCAG
rnacentral:lncRNA from 1 species